UACGUAGGGGGCUAGCGUUGUCCGGAAUCAUUGGGCGUAAAGCGCGCGUAGGCGGCCCGGUAAGUCCGCUGUGAAAGUCAAAGGCUCAAUCUUUGAAUGUCAGCGGAUACUGCCGGGCUAGAGUCCGGAAGAGGCGAGUGGAACUCCUGGUGGUAGCGGUGGAAUGACGCAGAUAUCAGGAAGAACACCAACGGCGAAGGCAGCUCGCUGGGACGGAACUGACGCUGGAGGCGCGAAAGCGUGGGGAGCGAACAGG
rnacentral:rRNA from 1 species